UACGGAGGGGACUAGCGUUGUUCGGAAUUACUGGGCGUAAAGCGCACGUAGGCGGUUUUGUAAGUCAGGGGUGAAAUCCCGGGGCUCAACCUCGGAACUGCCUUUGAUACUGCAAAUCUCGAGUCCGGAAGAGGUGAGUGGAAUUCCUAGUGUAGAGGUGAAAUUCGUAGAUAUUGGGAAGAACACCGGUGGCGAAGGCGGCUCACUGGCUCGUAUCUGACGCUCAGGCGCGAUAGCGUGGGGAUCAAACAGG
rnacentral:rRNA from 1 species